rnacentral:misc_RNA from 1 species
AAUACAACACUUGACUAGCGGUAAAUGUUUGACCCUGCUAUGUUGCUGAAAAACUAUGAAUGAAGCGCAAGUUUCUUUUGGUUGAGUACGUGAUCGGUGGGUAGUUUAUUGGUAGGUAGAGUUCAUACCUUAUAGACGCUGGCCUAGCUAGUGAUCUGAACCAAGGUCUCAAAUCAGGUAGGAAGACCCGCUGAACUUAA